UUCGUGUCUGUUUCCCAACCUGCCGCAGGAGAAGGCCAGGCUGAGAGAUCUCUGCUGUCCUGGUGCCGCUGGCAUUGCGGGAACUCUGCCAUUGUCAGGAAAGGAGGAGGCGACGAGAGUCCCUUCAUGGGUAUAUCCUGAGGAAGAAAUACACAAGGGCACAGCAAGAAAUCGACCCUUCAUACAGCAGGAGAAGAGCCCUCACCAGGAAUCAAACCCCACAGGAAUAUCUCCUUGGAUUACAGCCCACAGAGCUACAGGAAAACAAACAUCUACGGCUUAAGUCCACAAUAUUUUGUUAUACAGCUAGAGCUGACCAAGACAGGGUGACAGGAAGGUACCACAGCCGCUGUAACCUCUGAGCAGGCUUGUAAUCCAUCCCCUCCGUCCCCAUGAGUAACAGGAAGGCAUGUGGCUGAGAUGUUGGAACGAGCUUCCUGUUAGAGCACCGUGCAGAGGCUGGGGAGUUUGGCGGUCAGUACACAGUCGGGUUGUGUCAGCUACUUUCCUGUUGCUGCGACCAGACACCUGACUACAGCAGCUGAGGCAGGAAGGGGUUAUCCUGGCUUGCGGUCUGAGGUACGGUCGGUCACAAUGGGGAAGGCAAGGCGGCAGGAACACACGGUGCUGCCCACAGCGCAGUGUGCUGCAGUCAGGGGCAGAUGGAGCGGAGGGCGGCUGCCCAGCUCACCGUCUCCUUUGUGUGCCCACAUCCAGGGUGGACAUUCCCUGUUCACUUAAACCUUUCAGAAGACACGUUACAGACACACCCAGAGACGUGUUUCAUGGUGACUCUGAAUCCUGUCUAGUCGGCAGGGAAGACUUCCCAUCAGGACACCACCAGUGUUGACUCAUGAAAAUGCAGCCCAGGCUAGACCUUCGACAACAUCAUGUGCUACUUUGGGAGUGUAAUUCAGCUUCUGUCGUUAUCUGAAUAACUCUGUUGUAUGGAAUCUACUGGAAAACAGCCCCAGCCUUCAGUGUAUGUAUUUGGGCAGAGAGCAGGAAAAACAAGAGCACCAGGAACCGAGACUCUGGGUUGUCCCAAAUCCACCUGUCCAGCCCAGUCCUCAGCACAGGUUUACCGUGCAGGCAGUGGAGAGGAAGGAGACAUCAACACAGACCCCAGCUGCAGUAGGACCAUGGACCCAGACAUGGCCCUUGGCAGCAGCAUGGACCCAGAAAUCACCAUGGCUUCAGGUGGCAGUGCCAAAAACCAUGUGGAAGUCCAUGAUCUAUGCUCCCGCUGACUGUAAAGGACAAGGAAUCCACUUUGGCAGUGGAAUUGAUGACUGUGGUGACUCACAGUUGAGAAGGCUUCUGUGACAACCCUACUGUCAUCCGCCCCAAGUAGCAGCCGACACAAAAGCCAUUGAAGAGAACUCUUAAAAGUUGUGAUAGGGAUCAUGAAGUGUAGCUCUCCACAACUGAAGGCUUAUGUUGGGGGUUGGGGGGAAGGACUCAGUUUUCUUUACGGGGCCAGCCUCCAGGAGUUUGACCGUGCUCAGUGAGUACAUGGGCAACACAAACUG